rnacentral:pre_miRNA from 1 species
UGAUAAUAUUGUUUUGCUAUUUUUGGUCAAUAAUGCAAUGACAUGUAGAAAAAUUAUUAUGCAUGUCAUUGCACUAUUGAUCGAGAAUAGCAAACAAAUUUAUUC